CCGAAUAUAGCUCAGCGGUAGAGCGGGAGACUGUAGUAAACUGAUAUCUCUAGGUCCCUGGUUCAAACCCGGGUGUUCGGA
rnacentral:tRNA from 1 species